AGUGGAUUAUUACACACUGGCGCUACAGAGACGCUGCUUCUGCUCUUGGCUGCAGGCUGUGAAUGAAGCCCACACAGAGAGAGAAGCCACUGCCAACCAGCUGUAUCAGCGGAUCUUGAUUCAGAGGGCUCUGUGUAGCUGGAAAAUGUGUUUGCCACAGAUAUAAGAUAUACACUUUAUACUGGAUGAACAAACCAGGCGAUUCUACAGGAUUCGUAUCCAGAAGAAGGUGUUCUUGGCAUUGCUGGAUUAUGCCACUGAGGAGCGACUGACAGCCUGGGACAAUGAGCAACGGGCAGAAGAACACAACGCCAGGAAAACGAGUGCAGUCAAAAAGUGUUUUGCGGGCUGGAGGCAUCUUUCAUCUGCCUUAUGGGAAGAGAAGGAAAGAGAGGCACGUAGAGAGCAGCUCAGAUGGAAAGUGGCAGAGAUACUACCGAAUUCUACACCUUCCCUGCUGACUCCCUGUGGAGCUCAAUAAAUCAUCUUUAACCAUCACACACAGGCUGCAACUAUCAAGCUUUACAUACAAGACAUCA